rnacentral:rRNA from 1 species
GAUGAACGCUGGCGGCGUGCCUAAUACAUGCAAGUCGAGCGAACAGACGAGGAGCUUGCUCUUCUGACGUUAGCGGCGGACGGGUGAGUAACACGUGGAUAACCUACCUAUAUGACUUGGAUAACUUCGGGAAGCCGGAGCUACUACUAGAUAAUAUAUCUAACCGCAUGGUUCAAUAGUGAUAGACGGUUUUGCUGUCACUUAUAGACGGAUCCGCGUCGCAUUAGCUAGUUGGUAAGGUAACGCCUUACCAAGGCACCGAUGCGUAGCCGACCUGAGAGGGUGAUCGGCCACGCUGGAACUGAGACACGGUCCGGGCUCCUAGGGAGGGCAGCAGUAGGGAAGCUGGCGGAAGGGGGGAAGGCCGGACGAGGCAUCGCCGCGUGAGGGAUGAAGGUCUUGGGAUGGAAAACCUCUUUUGUGAGGGAAAAAGAAAUGUGUAAGUAACUAUGCUCGUCUGACGGGAACCGAAUAAGAAGGACAGGGCAAACUCGGU